GAUUCAAAAGUGUGGAGGUGGAUGAUACUUUAGGGAGGAUGUUGGUUGCAAUUUCCUUUUGUACAAUGCAGCGGGCACAAAAUAAUUUGCAGGCAAGCUUUCUUUCAGCGAUUGGUGAGUUACGGGUCAACCGUGUCUCACCUCACUAAAUCGGGUUCUCAUGCUUUUUCUUGCUUGAUAUUAAUUCUCAAUAUUCUUGGCACAUCCUUACAGGGAUAUCAUGUACAGUGCUAAUCUCCUAAUGCGAUUUAGACCAGCGAGUUUUCUAUUUUGGCCUUUGUUUUCUAUGUGCAGGGUGUAUGCAGAUCUAUGGGAGUUCAUACAAUGCAACGGCUACGAUUUAAUUAGUAGUUUCCUUCAUUUUCAUAUUGUUCUUUAGCCCUGUUAUUUGUAUGGUUCAGUUUGCAUUUUUAUGCUCAGAUGAAAGAAUAAUUUCUCCAACAGCAGGUUUAUGUACCAUGGAUAUAUAACUUUGAUUUUUUGUCCAAUAUAUAACCUUUUAAAUAAUGGAUAUGGUAAAUGCAUCGUUAGUAACCACUGGAAGAAAAAGUAUUCAGUCAGUCUCUUUGAUAUCCAACAUGGUCAAUCUAAAUAGAUGAAUGAUGGAGAGAGGGUACUUUUGGGCUUUUCUAGAAGAUGCUCUUAAGUUAACUGUUCAUUGCUGCUUGUUUGUAAUGUGUUCUUUGAAAUCUAAUCGAUCCAUAUUUGUGAUGUUUUUUAGGUGUGUGCUCAUGCCUAGGUUUGUGUUCUCAACUUGAGUAUAUGGUGCCCAAAUUGUGAUGGAUAUCAGGGAGUGACCACGGUGCUGCCUUUGCUCAUCCCCUCGGGCCUCAUGCGUUAACUCGAGGAUGGCGCCGAUGGAUCGGCCAACUCCGUCCUGGCCGACAGCAAGGGCGAAUGCUGGUUUCCGAGGUGGUUCUCCCAGUCAAUGAGGUGGUAUGGAGCAGCAAACCAUGGACGAUUUGGAGGCUGCUUAGGCAUGAAGCAGUGAAACAUGCUCCUCUGCCAUGCUUUUUUCUCCGAAGAGGAGCAGCAGGUAAGGAGCACAACCCUUCAUGCAUCAUGCUCCAUGGUGCAGCAGCCAGAACAGGCGACCACAGCUAAGCCAGGGUUACGGACGAUGGCAGGAGCGAGCAGUGGCAAGUGUUUUCUCAUUUCCAAUAUGUUUAAUGUUCAGUUCAUACGAACGUCCUGGACCACCUUUGGAAAAACCACAGCCUUCACUACCCCAGCAAAGCAUGGAUGUGCCAUAGAAAUGGUGUCAUCCAUCAGGACCUUAAACUAGAGAACUUACACGCAAAUAAGAAGAGUUCUCCUCUAAAGGCAAUUGAUUUUGGGCUAUCUGUGUUCUUCAGGACUGGUAUUCUCUGGAACAUACCUUUGCACCUUACAAAUUGCUUUGAUGUUGUGAAGAAACUGAACAGAUAUACAAGAGCAUGAGCUCUUUGUCAGGGGCUACCUUUACUUGUGUGGCCUCUGGCUGAGGAGUCCUUUAGAUGCUUUGCGCCCGCUCUGUUGUUAUGCUACUGUGGAACGAUGAGCCAUCUGGCCAGGCUCAUCGCCACCUCACAUGUUAUCGCCGUUGUACCCACCUUACUCCCUUCCGCCUCGAGGCAAGGCAGUCUUGCUCCUUCGACGCUUCAACAACAAUUCACCGAUUAGUUUACCAGCCGGCGGCAGCAUCAGUGAUCCGCUGCACAGCAGCAUGCAGCACGAGCGGAGAAGGCAGUAGCACCAACAGCCAACACCCGGCACCUGGCGUGGAGGCCUGGAGGGCCCUCACUGCAGAGGGCGGCGAGAUUUGGCAAGACCGGCGACCAGCGGUUGGCAGCAGUGAGAAGCGAGUGAAAGACCGGUGGUCUGGUCGUUUUGGGGGAAAGGAGGAGAACAGAUAAGGUUUGGUUUGGGAAAGGAGGAGAUUUUUUUUGAGAACUGGGAAAGGAUGAGGUGAGAUGAGCGUGCGUGGGAGUUAGUCGAUGUAUAUGGGUCGGAUGCAUUUGGGCUGGGCCAAAUGCUUAUAGUACACUGGGGUCGUGGCACCCUUUUGGUCAUUUAUGCAUGCAAGUUGAUCAACUAUCUAAUAAAACAAACUUCUUUAAGGUCCAGUAGGUGUUAUAUGUACAAGCAAUGCUAACUGCUUCUCACUGAUCAUACACGAUAAAUAGCCUUUUCUGUUUUUCACUAAUACACAAGCUAAUUAACCAUCCAAUUAAAUGAGCUGUGUUUUCGGAUUCAUUAGGUCUUCUGUUUGUUUAUGUUGUCCUCUGUUUGCUGUUCCAAACUCUUACCAUGAUCUCCUUAUCUAUUCAUCACAGCCGAACCAUUGUGUCGCAAGCACAAUAGGCCAUUCGAGUAUCUUCAUCGCCCACGCAAAGCAAGCUCAAUCCGAAAGUUCAAAGGCAAGAAGAUCCAUCUGAAUAUUUUCUUUUAAGCAUCAAGCUUUCAUGUAAUGGAAUAUAAGUAUCUUUAAGUUGAUUCUAAAUCAAUCUCAUACACAUGCUUUGAAUGCUUCGCUCGCUCUCGCUUUUUGCGCCAUGGUCAAACGUGCAGCGAUGACUCUGUCUAAUGUUUGUCACUUCAAUAUGUGCCCGAAUAAUAUUAAUAUACACUCUUUCAAUACAUGGCUUGUUCUCGGCCUUUGCGCCAUUGGCGCAACUGGUCAUCUAGUACAUACAAAAGAUAACAAUGCGCGGAUGCUUUCACUAUAAGCUUGUACUCUAUAAUAAGCCUCAAAAAUGAGAUAUCAUAUUGUUUCGAUGUUCGGUAUUAUUGAAUAUUUACAUAAUAGUAACUGUAAUCUGAUGUGUAUAUAUUAUAAGAAUCAUAAGCUUAGAUGUAUGUAAAUCUCUUACCAUUUUUUGGAACUAUUUCGUAUUUCCAUCAAAUGUAGAUGCAUUUUUCAACAUUUCCGUACAAAUAGUAGACUAUAUUCAUCCUGUCAUAUAGUGUGUAACAUUCAUGUUAGCAUAGAUAAGUAAAUUUGUUAAUUUGAAGAGAUUUUGCAGCAAACUCAUUAUCCAUGUACUUGUGCUUAUGUAAAAUGCUGGCAACAUCAUACGGCAAGUGUGUAUUUUAGACUUUUAGUUCAUAACUUCAGAAAAAAUCUUUGUAGAUUAUGUUCUUGACCCCAACAUCCUUAUUGCUACUUCAUCAUUUACCAUUACUUGCAGUCCAUCCCUUUUUCUGACUCUUGAGAACCGUACGUAUAAAUGUCCAUGUGUAAAGACUUGUUCAUGUAGAUAUAGUCCAACCUUGUUUGGAGAGUGCUCCUGCCUUCUGUUUAUUGUCAUAGCAAAGCAUGGUGAGAUAGGAUAUUGUCUCCUUUUCAGAAGGAAAACCACAACCAUUCAGCGGUGACAUGAUUAUUUUUGGAAUGUAGACCUUUUCUUCCACAUGUGAUACUUAUUAUCUGUGCUUCGAUGAUUUGUUUGUACUGAACAAUGGCAUACCGUCUAUUUUUUCUAGUGUACCAUUCACAAUCAAGGCUGCAACUUCAGUUGCAGAUAGCAUACCAUGUCGUUUUCCAUCUGCGCCACAAUUAUUGGUUAGUUUUAAUAUGGCAUUGUGAUAAUUGCAUUCUUUGAAUGUGUGACUUGCCAUUCUGAAUGUUUUUGCUAGUAUAUUAUCCCUAUGCAGCACAUUCUUAAGGGCCUCAAUGAUGCGAGUAUCUAUUUAUUAAAGGAGGAAUAUAACUGGAAAAAUAAUUAUAUGUAGUUAAGAGUUCUGUUCCAACCAAACCUUGCACACAAAACUAUUAACUCGAGGGAAAUGUAAGUACGGCAAGGGAGUUCAUUAAUCUGGCUUACAAUGAAUCUUGCAAAUUAAUUGCCUUUUUGCAUAAGAUGGUAAUACAUACUGGAGCUGGGGCGAUCACUAAAAGGUGUCAAUUGGACAAUCAAGGUGAGCGACGGAGAUUGGGAACCAACCUUGAAUACAAAAAUGCUUUUACUAAACAAAAGUAUGGUAAGGAACCGGUUCUGGUCAUAUUAAUGACUCUAGAUGUAUAGAUUAGUGUUUUUCUAUUUUAGCACAAUCUAUUAAUCAAGUAUUCUUGAUCCAUCACCCAGUGAUCAGUUCAUCACUUCACCCAAUGUAUAGUAUAAACUAAUCGAUUCUGUGCAGAAGGUGAUACCUAUUGGAGUUGCUGCUAUCGUUGGGUGGAGUCCGUUGGACAAUUGAGGAGAUCCAACAGAGCCUUUACAGAGGUGUGGCAAUGUCCAAGGGUGCCGAUAUGAAGGGAAAGCCGAUAUAUUGCUUUCCGGCCAGGUGUGCGGACAUCCACCAAAGCAAGUCGGGCCUGUGUAUAGAAAUCAAUCAUCCUCAUGCAUCUCGACGGAAUCACUCGGCCUCUUUAGGAAAGCCACCUUGUACGUGCAUGAAAGCUCUGGUCAGAAGCCCAUCUAUGAGGGCGUACUUCCACGGGAAGAACUUUGGAGCCAUGAGGGGAUGUCCGAGAAAUAUCCAAGUAACAGUGUCAUCGCCCGGGGGAAAGAAAGACAUCGUGAAGGAUUUGGUGUAGCGGUAAAAGAGGAGCUUCCUUUCGAUGGCAUUGGUGGGUAAUUUCUCAUAAAAUUAUUAUAAUCUAACGGUUGUCGUUUUAUUUUCUAAUAACAUUAACCGUUAGAUGUUUCUAAUUUUUGCGGGAUUUUCUAGUCUAAUUAUCUUUUUUUUGUUACCCCGUCAAGCAUUUUUAAUAUAUAAUAGAUGAACUAUUUCCAUCAAAUGCUAAUGCAUGUUUCCAUUACUUCUGCAAAUCAGUAGACCAUAUACAUCCAUAUAUUAUGUUACCAUUUAUAUGUUAGUUAUUCUUUUGAACUUUGAAGAUAUAUUUCUUUAUAGACUAUUACCCGCAAGUGUCCAUGUGUAAAUGCUUGUUUAGGCAGAGUUAGUCCAACCUUGUUUAGAGAUUUUCCCUUGCUUUUAUUGAUUGUCAUAGCAAACUAGACUGUUAUAGGAUAUUGUCUCCUAUUUAGAAUGAAUGGCCACACUCAUUCAUUUGGUAACAUGGUUAUUCUUGGAAUAUAUACUUUUUGCCCCACAUCAGUGUUCUUGUUAUUAUCUGUGCCUCGAUGAUUUUUCUUCCAAGUUGAAUAAUCGUCAUCCCUGUUGAUAUUACAUUGGAGCAUCACUGGUAGGUCUGCUUUUAGUUUUAGCUUGUGAUUUGGGAUUUUGGGGAAUGGUAAGCUGUUUAGGAAUUCUGUUGGAUAUAAAAUUGCAGUUUCAGCAUUUAAGGUUGUUGCUUUGCAUACUGUGUCACAACUUAGAUACGUUUUCAUCUAACCUUGUAGCUGAUCCUAGAUAUUCAUUUUUUUAAUCCUGGGAACUGUUUUGUUCCUUGGACAUAAUAUUGAUCUUUCUUCUAAGAAAUCUCACUGGCAGUACCUGUCCUGCAAAUUUGGAUAUAUGCUCUCCACAAUCUCCUUUCUUCUGUAGUAUGUCGGUUGGUAUUUUAAUCAAUUCUUCACCUUGAUGAUAUAUUUAUUCCGUCAGUAAUAUUGAGAACCACUGUGCAAAUUCGUGUGUAUUAUUUGUCACCGCUUGCUGGUGGGGCAUAAUAUAUCCUUCCAACCAAUCUUGUUUUCUUUCUUUUGCUCCACUUUGUCUCUUUCUUCAUCCAUACCCAUUGUGACGGGAACCAUGCAUUUGCUACUUCCCUGGCUUCUUCGCUCUUGUUUGUCUCCAUCGACUGCAUAAAUUUAAUCAUUCCUACUCUUUCUCCAGAGCAAAUGACCUGCUGCUGACUCUCCAAUUAGAAAUGCAACCUUUUCACUUAUGGAUCUCAGAACUGCAUUUCGAACUAAUAUAUUAUCCAACACGCGUCAUUGCUUGAUAUGUAUGUGCAUUUGAGGUAUCUCUUGAUCUCGUCAUUUUCUAUUAGGGUUCUCUCUUGGUCAUCUUAUCUAUGUAUGUAUUUUAUUUACAGAGAUCUGUUGCAGACCUCGACAUUUAUGUAUGCUUGAUAUUUAACCAAUAGAUUUCUAUUUUAUAGGACUAUGUAUCUACUGUCUAGCUUGACUUCCCAUUCUAUAUGUAUUUUCCAUUUUCUAGUCUUCUAUAUAUUGGGAAUCCAUCUUCAUGUAUUGUGUAAUGUGAUAGUGCUGAUAUAUUUUUUUGGGGAACUUUCUGUCAGGACCCCGACUCAA